CCGAGUUGCUCACCUCUCCCGAACCUUUUCCUUUCUUCCCUUCUUCCUCUGUUCUUUGUUCUUUCUCGCGGACAACACUAAGGCGACGGGCAACAGAGUUCUACCUCUGAUGAUCGUCGACGUCGACUGGUAGCAUGUCACCGGAGCUUGCUAGAGAUCGAAGCCCGGAUCAUCCUGAUCUCUUCUUCUUCUCAACUCUUUCCACCCGAGCCCUAGCUUUUUCCGUCGCCGAGUCCUCCCUCUCCUCUCUCACGCGACGCCGACACUGCCGAGCUCUCCCUUCCUUCGCAAAGCCAUCAUCGCCUUGGCUUGAGGACAGAUCGACAACGCCGUUGAUCGAGGGAGUGCGUAGGUUCCCUGUGCUCCGAUUUCCCCUGGAUCGUCGCCGGCGUCUGAGGUAUAGCCAUGCCCUAAUUUUUGUUAUGGUGUCGUGGGAUCAAGCUAGAGCCAUCCGAUCGCCGGCGUGAGGUUGCCUUAGGGCUUCGAAAUUCUAUGAUGGCAAUUGUUACCUGCUUAAUUGGAUUGCAAUUCGGGCACGUCAUCAUACACUUUAAGGAUCACAAGGAGAGGAUUGUGCAGUGGAUGAUUGCUUCCUUUUGUCUAUUAGCAUUAGCUUUUUCAUUAGACUUCUAUGGCAUGCAUAUGAACAAGGCUUUAUACACACCAAGUUAUACUUGCAUCACUGCUAGGACUGCUGGGGUCAUGUUCACUGGGGUUUAUGUGCUGGUUGACAUCUAUGGCUACAGGAAGCCAACCUUGGUUAUGGAAUGGCUAGGGAUGCAUGCAUUGAUGGUCUACAUUCUAUUAGGUUGCAACAUCUUCCCUUUAUUUGCCCAAGGAUUCUACUUGAGGGAGCCUGAGAACAAUAUAUUGAAGGUCAUUGGCAUUUCCUAAACAUCAUUUAUCUCGUUCACCGCAUCAUCCUUACCUGGAAAGAAUUUCAAUCAAUGAUCACUAUCAAGGAAGAAUGUUCAAAGGAAAGUAAAGGCUAAGGAGAAGAAACCAUAUAUUCCUUUCCCUCCUCAACUACCAAGCAAUGUGAAGUUAUUGUUGCAAUCUGUGAACAUUAAAUCUCAUAUUAGACCUUCACACUUAUAGAUCAUUAGUCCUUUUAUUUUUCUUUACUAGUUUAAGAAAAAAGAAUUUACUUUUUGUUAUAUUGCAAUAUCUGCAGUGCUGCCUCUUCAUCGACAUCUAAGUAGAAAAUCUCAUUCAUUUCCUCCAUUCAUUGCCUUCCUCAUUUUCUCAAUUAUAAAUGUUUAUAGUCUACCUUUGAUGUAAUCACCCACGCAUAUUCUAUGCUUGCAGUUAAUGUAUUUGUUCUUUGAUCUUAUUUCUAAAGUCCAUUUCUUCCUCUUAGGAACAUCAUGUAUUGACAAGUAAUGACCUUAUUAAUAUUUCAGUUUCUGUACAUAGUGAUCUAGAAAAGCUUACACUUCUUACUUCUCUAAAUCUAGAAUUAAAUCAUAAGUUAGAUUAAAUUACAGUUACUUUAUCAUUUCUUAGUUUUUUUUCUAACUUACAUUUGCAAUAUUUGCAUCUCGAUUCAUUCGAUUAUGUUCACUUUGUAUUCAACAUGAAGCUAAAAGGUGUUUUGUACAUAUUAAAGACUCUUUGGUGGUUUUUUUAUUUUCAAUCUACUGUUCUUUUUAGCAUCUUUAUCCUGCUAUAAUGUUAUUCUUUAAGAUUAUGUUGCAUUGAUUUCUAAAAGUUGCAUGACAUCUCUCUAUUCUGCCUUCAAAACUAACGAUUUAUGUUGUUUCAGGUAAUUAUUGUAGCCAUUCCUACUAUUGUUUCAAGAUGUUACCAUUUAUGUUACAUAGAUAACGCUUUUUUCACUUCUGUUAAAUGACUAUAUCAAAUGGUUUUUAUUGUUAUGUAACAUUUAUGCAGUGCAAUUAG